rnacentral:lncRNA from 1 species
UAGAGACUCUACUGGUGGGGCAAAAGCCUGAUGGCUAGGCCUACGCGUGGCCGGGGUCCAAGAAGGAACAACAAACUUAGCGGACUCUCCUGCUAUCAUAACGAGCAGAUACCCGAUCAAGGCACCUAACUGAAGAAAAGAGGGACUAGGAUCCCUCUCACUCCAAGGAUCCCUCCGACCUAUCGACAAAGAAAGACAAGUAAAAAAAGAUGGUACGAAGGUUGAAGGAACUAAGAUCAAAACAAGAUAACUAACAGGUGGAAGAAGGCUUACGUCAAAGCUUCUUAUUGAACUGCAACCACUCAUGGAUCCCCACUAUUUGAGGUAAAAUCUGGC